rnacentral:rRNA from 1 species
AGAACGAACGCUGGCGGCAGGCUUAACACAUGCAAGUCGAACGCUCGUGGCAACACGGGAGUGGCAGACGGGUGAGUAACACGUGGGAACGUACCCUUCGGUUCGGAAUAACUUGGGGAAACUCAAGCUAAUGCCGGAUACGAGCGCAAGCUGAAAGGUUUACCGCCGAAGGAUCGGCCCGCGUCUGAUUAGCUAGUUGGUGAGGUAACGGCUCACCAAGGCGACGAUCAGUAGCUGGUCUGAGAGGAUGAUCAGCCACAUUGGGACUGAGACACGGCCCAAACUCCUACGGGAGGCAGCAGUGGGGAAUAUUGGACAAUGGGCGCAAGCCUGAUCCAGCCAUGCCGCGUGAGUGAUGACGGCCCUAGGGUGUAAAGCUCUUUACCUGGGACGAUAAUGACGGUACAGGAGAAUAAGCCCGGCUAACUUCGUGCCAGCAGCCGC